GACGAACGCUGGCGGCGUGCUUAACACAUGCAAGUCGAACGGAAAGGCCCUGCUUUUGUGGGGUGCUCGAGUGGCGAACGGGUGAGUAACACGUGAGUAACCUGCCCUUGACUUUGGGAUAACUUCAGGAAACUGGGGCUAAUACCGGAUAGGAGCUCCUGCUGCAUGGUGGGGGUUGGAAAGUUUCGGCGGUUGGGGAUGGACUCGCGGCUUAUCAGCUUGUUGGUGGGGUAGUGGCUUACCAAGGCUUUGACGGGUAGCCGGCCUGAGAGGGUGACCGGCCACAUUGGGACUGAGAUACGGCCCAGACUCCUACGGGAGGCAGCAGUGGGGAAUAUUGCACAAUGGGCGGAAGCCUGAUGCAGCAACGCCGCGUGCGGGAUGACGGCCUUCGGGUUGUAAACCGCUUUCGCCUGUGACGAAGCGUGAGUGACGGUAAUGGGUAAAGAAGCACCGGCUAACUACGUGCCAGCAGCCGCGGUGAUACGUAGGGUGCGAGCGUUGUCCGGAUUUAUUGGGCGUAAAGGGCUCGUAGGUGGUUGAUCGCGUCGGAAGUGUAAUCUUGGGGCUUAACCCUGAGCGUGCUUUCGAUACGGGUUGACUUGAGGAAGGUAGGGGAGAAUGGAAUUCCUGGUGGAGCGGUGGAAUGCGCGGAUAUCAGGAGGAACACCAGUGGCGAAGGCGGUUCUCUGGGCCUUUCCUGACGCUGAGGAGCGAAAGCGUGGGGAGCGAACAGGCUUAGAUACCCUGGUAGUCCACGCCGUAAACGGUGGGUACUAGGUGUGGGGUCCAUUCCACGGGUUCCGUGCCGUAGCUAACGCUUUAAGUACCCCGCCUGGGGAGUACGGCCGCAAGGCUAAAACUCAAAGGAAUUGACGGGGCCCCGCACAAGCGGCGGAGCAUGCGGAUUAAUUCGAUGCAACGCGUAGAACCUUACCUGGGUUUGACAUGGAUCGGGAGUGCUCAGAGAUGGGUGUGCCUCUUUUGGGGUCGGUUCACAGGUGGUGCAUGGCUGUCGUCAGCUCGUGUCGUGAGAUGUUGGGUUAAGUCCCGCAACGAGCGCAACCCUUGUUCACUGUUGCCAGCACGUUAUGGUGGGGACUCAGUGGAGACCGCCGGGGUCAACUCGGAGGAAGGUGGGGAUGACGUCAAGUCAUCAUGCCCCUUAUGUCCAGGGCUUCACGCAUGCUACAAUGGCUGGUACAGAGAGUGGCGAGCCUGUGAGGGUGAGCGAAUCUCGGAAAGCCGGUCUCAGUUCGGAUUGGGGUCUGCAACUCGACCUCAUGAAGUCGGAGUCGCUAGUAAUCGCAGAUCAGCAACGCUGCGGUGAAUACGUUCCCGGG
rnacentral:rRNA from 1 species